CCAUAGGCCAUGAAUCUGGUCUUGGGACACUGUCAGGUGGGCAGUUUGACUGGGGCGGUCGCCUCCCAAAAGGUAACGGAGGCGCUCAAAGGUUCUCUCAGUACGGUCGGAAAUCGUACGUAGAGUGGAAAGGCAAAAGAGAGCUUGAUUGCAAGACAUACAGGUCGAGCAAGGAUGAAAAUCGGACUUAGUGAUCCGGUG
rnacentral:rRNA from 1 species